rnacentral:rRNA from 1 species
UGGGGAAUAUUGCACAAUGGGCGCAAGCCUGAUGCAGCCAUGCCGCGUGUGUGAAGAAGGCCUUCGGGUUGUAAAGCACUUUCAGCGAGGAGGAAGGUGGUGAACUUAAUACGUUCAUCAAUUGACGUUACUCGCAGAAGAAGCACCGGCUAACUCCGUGCCAGCAGCCGCGGUAAUACGGAGGGUGCAAGCGUUAAUCGGAAUUACUGGGCGUAAAGCGCACGCAGGCGGUUUGUUAAGUCAGAUGUGAAAUCCCCGGGCUCAACCUGGGAACUGCAUUUGAAACUGGCAAGCUAGAGUCUCGUAGAGGGGGGUAGAAUUCCAGGUGUAGCGGUGAAAUGCGUAGAGAUCUGGAGGAAUACCGGUGGCGAAGGCGGCCCCCUGGACGAAGACUGACGCUCAGGUGCGAAAGCGUGAGGAGCAAACAGGAUUAGAUACCCUGGUAGUCCACGCUGUAAAACGAUGUCGAUUUUGGAGGUUGUGCCCCUUGAGGCGUGGCUUCCGGAGCUAACGCGUUAAAUCGACCGCCUGGGGAGUACGGCCGCAAGGUUAAAAA